UUUUCAAGACCGGGGCUAUCAACCACUCAGCCAUCUCUC
rnacentral:tRNA from 1 species